rnacentral:piRNA from 1 species
GCUGGGAGAGUGUCUGGUUGUUU